rnacentral:rRNA from 1 species
CGCGUGCUUAACACAUGCAAGUCGAGCGGUAAGGCCUUUCGGGGUACACGAGCGGCGAACGGGUGAGUAACACGUGGGUGAUCUGCCCUGCACUUCGGGAUAAGCCUGGGAAACUGGGUCUAAUACCGGAUAUGACCUCCUAUCGCAUGGUGGGUGGUGGAAAGAUUUAUCGGUGCAGGAUGGGCCCGCGGCCUAUCAGCUUGUUGGUGGGGUAAUGGCCUACCAAGGCGACGACGGGUAGCCGACCUGAGAGGGUGACCGGCCACACUGGGACUGAGACACGGCCCAGACUCCUACGGGAGGCAGCAGUGGGGAAUAUUGCACAAUGGGCGAAAGCCUGAUGCAGCGACGCCGCGUGAGGGACGACGGCCUUCGGGUUGUAAACCUCUUUCAGCAGGGACGAAGCGCAAGUGACGGUACCUGCAGAAGAAGCACCGGCUAACUACGUGCCAGCAGCCGCGGUAAUACGUAGGGUGCAAGCGUUGUCCGGAAUUACUGGGCGUAAAGAGUUCGUAGGCGGUUUGUCACGUCGUUUGUGAAAACUCACAGCUCAACUGUGAGCCUGCAGGCGAUACGGGCAGACUUGAGUACUGCAGGGGAGACUGGAAUUCCUGGUGUAGCGGUGAAAUGCGCAGAUAUCAGGAGGAACACCGGUGGCGAAGGCGGGUCUCUGGGCAGUAACUGACGCUGAGGAACGAAAGCGUGGGUAGCGAACAGGAUUAGAUACCCUGGUAGUCCACGCCGUAAAC